rnacentral:rRNA from 1 species
GAUGAACGCUGGCGGCGUGCCUAAUACAUGCAAGUCGAGCGAACGGACGAGAAGCUUGCUUCUCUGAUGUUAGCGGCGGACGGGUGAGUAACACGUGGAUAACCUACCUAUAAGACUGGGAUAACUUCGGGAAACCGGAGCUAAUACCGGAUAAUAUUUUGAACCGCAUGGUUCAAAAGUGAAAGACGGUCUUGCUGUCACUUAUAGAUGGAUCCGCGCUGCAUUAGCUAGUUGGUAAGGUAACGGCUUACCAAGGCAACGAUGCAUAGCCGACCUGAGAGGGUGAUAGGCCACACUGGAGCUGAGACACGGUCCAGACUCCUACGGGAGGCAGCAGUAGGGAAUCUUCCGCAAUGGGCGAAAGCCUGACGGAGCAACGCCGCGUGAGUGAUGAAGGUCUUCGGAUCGUAAAACUCUGUUAUUAGGGAAGAACAUAUGUGUAAGUAACUGUGCACAUCUUGACGGUACCUAAUCAGAAAGCCACGGCUAACUACGUG